rnacentral:rRNA from 1 species
GACGAACGCUGGCGGCGUGCUUAACACAUGCAAGUCGAACGGAAAGGCCCUGCUUUUGUGGGGUGCUCGAGUGGCGAACGGGUGAGUAACACGUGAGUAGCCUGCCCUUGACUUUGGGAUAACUUCAGGAAACUGGGGCUAAUACCGGAUAGGAGCUCCUGCUGCAUGGUGGGGGUUGGAAAGUUUCGGCGGUUGGGGAUGGACUCGCGGCUUAUCAGCUUGUUGGUGGGGUAGUGGCUUACCAAGGCUUUGACGGGUAGCCGGCCUGAGAGGGUGACCGGCCACAUUGGGAAUGAGAUACGGCCCAGACUCCUACGGGAGGCAGCAGUGGGGAAUAUUGCACAAUGGGCGGAAGCCUGAUGCAGCAACGCCGCGUGCGGGAUGACGGCCUUCGGGUUGUAAACCGCUUUCGCCUGUGACGAAGUGUGAGUGACGGUAAUGGGUAAAGAAGCACCGGCUAACUACGUG